GACAGAGGGUGCAAACGUUGCUCGGAAUUACUGGGCGUAAAGCGCGUGUAGGCGGAUUGGCAAGUCGGGUGUGAAAAUCCAGGGCUCAACCCUGGACCUGCAUUCGAUACGGGCAGACUAGAGUUCGGUAGGGGAGACUGGAAUUCCUGGUGUAGCGGUGAAAUGCGCAGAUAUCAGGAGGAACACCGAUGGCGAAGGCAGGUCUCUGGGCCACUACUGACGCUGAGAAGCGAAAGCAUGGGGAGCGAACAGG
rnacentral:rRNA from 1 species